UGAAAGAGAGAGAGAGAGCGAACAAAUGGGUUUCUUCAGUGAGGGGUAUCAGUCACCAGCAACCACGCAGCCGCUCCCUCGGCUCGCCCUGGGCUGUAGCCGCCCCCGUUUGCGAGGGGUGGGAGGCUCCCAGGUCCUGAGGAAGUUUUAACGUGAUCCGUGACCAUUGCGUCACGGGCUCCCUCUUCAUAUAAAAAUGCUCCCAUACACAACUCAACCAUCAUUUGAGGCGGAGAGCUACCAUCGUGUUGAGACCUCUAUUGUCGCGACUAGAGCCUGCUCCGGGAGGGAAGACAGAGGAAUUAUAUUUUUAGCCAAAACUCGAUCCCACCCACAACAAGAUGAUUAAAUUCUUGAUCGUGUUUUUGAUGGUUGUUGGAAUUGCUGUGACGGAAAGCACGAUAAAACCUGCUGCUGACAGUACCACAAAUCAGACGGACAGCAACAUGUCCACCAGUCAAGCACCCACUAUGUCCACCCGUCAAGUAACCACUAUGACCAACACGGGCCCCACUAGUGGCACUGGUACAGGAGGCUUCAGACUGCAUUCGUUCAACUGGCUGUUCCUCCCUCUCACCAUCACUGCCGCCAUAUUCUACUUCUCCUGCUAAAGGCUGCUUUGGCCUCACUUGGCUACGAGGCAGCACAUCGUUCAAACAUCAGCUCAACACCAUGGAGCUCAUGAUGGGUGUACAGCUCAGCAACUGGAUUUCAAACGUUAUUCUGUUGUUCCUCUCGUUUCCUGAAGACCAAAUCAUCAUUGGCGAAUGUCACCUUUGAGUUCACUUCGCUGGUGUGAAGUGAUCACGUUGAACUGAAAUGAAUUUGUUAGUCCCUUCUCUCACUCUCUGUCUCUGCCUCUCUCUCUCUCUCUCUCUCUCUCUCUCUCUCUCUCUUUCCUUCUUUAUCUCUUUGCUGCUGAACUGAGCUGCCCUGAUAGUUACCAUGUGUGAAAGGAAGAAUGAUUCGAAGAGCUUUCUGUCCACACUCUGCCUGUGUACUGUAUCUUUCUUUUUGUUCUGUGUAAAUAAUUUGACGAAUUAACCAGCAAUUUUCUGUUGAAACGAGGCCUGAUGAGACCUUUAAUUCAUCGGGAAGCCACUCAUUCGAUAAUAAUAAUAAUGGACGUUCAGAGAAAACAAGUUGAAGAUCAGUGGGACUGUUGAGAGAACCAGACCCGUCAGUCAAACUUCAGUGCGAGGAUACGCUCCUGGCUGGUGCCAAGAUUGGAUUUUAUCAACACACACACACACACACACACACAUACAGAGUCACACACACUUACUGCUAGAGAAUGUUCAAUUCUGUUAUAAGUUUAAUUUUUUAAUAUUUUAGGACUUUUAGGGAGGUAAUGGAUCACAUAUUUAUUGGAUAUAAAUAUUUAGAGCUACCUCUUUAUCAUCUGGUUUUUAAAAUUGAAAACUAAAAUGAUACAGUAUUGUGUAAAAGUCUUAGGUACCUAUAUGUAGCUGAGUUGCCUAAGACCUUUGCACAGAACUGUAGUAAUUUUAUGUAUUGCACUGUACUGCUGCCGCAAAAAAAAUUCAUGACAUAUCUACGGUAAGGGAGUGGGAAGCACCAGAGAGACAUUUUGUAACGACUAGUUGUUUGGAAGCAAAUUACCUUGAUGGUGUCCCAGGGCUGGGCACGUCUGCACCUGCACCAUCGCCCCGACCGUUUCUGCUCCAUGUUGACAAAUACAGUACUGUGCAAAAGCCUUGGGCACCCUAGGAAUGUGUGUGUUUGUGUGUGAAAUUCUGAAUUCGUAAGGAAAUGAGAACCACAGAUUCUGAAUGCUGCCAUUCCCUUAAAUGACUGUAGUCAGUGAGUUUGGCUCCUUGGACUGACAUGGACCCAUGGUUCCAUGGUACUGAAAUGUCCAAAUAAAAUUUCUGGUAAUGUUUUAAAAGACAACUUUGUUUCACAUCCAGUUCAUUUUUAGCAGCACUAAUGGCAUUUGGCAAGUACUGUAUUUUCUGAUUACGUUUCUGAUAGCAUCUACUUGAGCUGUAACCAAUUUCUAGAUGUGAUAGUUCGUGGCAUUUUGUUUUGGAACAAAAUCUACAGGUUUAUUGUUUGUAUAAUUAACUGUUGUGAUUGUCGAUUUAAAAGUAAAUAUUGUUUUCAAUGGAUCUCUGCUGUAUAUAAAAGGUACUGGAAUUCAUUUAAAGAAUCAGAUAUUUAAGCUUUGCCUCAAACUAAUUUGGAAAAUUAAAAAAGGAUUCUUGAAUUAUUUCAAUAAACUAAUUAAUUAUAAAAAUAAA